GAGAAAAUGAUGAUUCAUAUGAUGAUUCUGAUACAUUUGAUGUUUUAAAAUUGAGCUUUUUAAACCUGAUGCCCA
rfam:Hordeum vulgare subsp. vulgare, WGS project CAJW01000000 data, contig: morex_contig_1630508